CUUUAUUUUAAAUUUUUUUUACUUAAGUAGUGUAAAUAAUAGUAAUAUAAUGUAUUUGAAACUUAAAAAGCUUGGCGUAUUAUAUAUCCAUUUAGGGGAGCUUGUUUAUUAAUUUGAUAAUCCUCAAUUAACUCUUACUUUUUCUUGAAUAUGUUUAUAUACAGUUUGUAUAUUGCUGUCAUCAGUUUAUUUCGUGAGAUUGUUAAAGGACUUGAAAGUAAAAAUUACUAAAAUGUCAAGUCAAAAUGCAGCUAAUGAAAAACCUUUAGAUGAAAAUGAGCUACAAUUUAUAAUUUUUAAUUGGAUUGAGUUAUGUAAUAGUUUAUGAAUUUGGACUUAAUAGUAAUAUAAAUAAGUAGUGUGUUUAUAUGAAUUUUUUGGUUUUAUAGCGCGU
rnacentral:rRNA from 1 species